rfam:Enterobacter aerogenes KCTC 2190, complete genome.
CCGGCAGAGUUAUUGGCGCCGUAUACCGGCGAUAUCGUCGCUGAAGGGGUUGGCAAGGUGCUUCGCGGCGGCGCGCGCUUCCUGCUGCAGGGCGCGAAAAGCCAGCAGCGCUACGUCGCUGAAGCGAUUACCGAAGAGUGGCGACUGGCGCCGGGGCCGUUGGAAAUGGCCUGGUUUGCUGAAGAGUCCGCCGCUGUAGAACGCGCGCUGGCCGCACUGGAAAAACGGCUGGAAACGCUGGAGGGGAAAUGA